rnacentral:rRNA from 1 species
GGGUUGUGAGGUUAAGCGACUAAGCGUACACGGUGGAUGCCCUGGCAGUCAGAGGCGAUGAAGGGCGUACUAAUCUGCGAUAAGCGCCGGUAAGGUGAUAUGAACCGUUAUAACCGGCGAUACCCGAAUGGGGAAACCCAGUGUGAUUCGUCACACUAUCAUUAACUGAAUCCAUAGGUUAAUGAGGCGAACCGGGGGAACUGAAACAUCUAAGUACCCCGAGGAAAAGAAAUCAACCGAGAUUCCCCCAGUAGCGGCGAGCGAACGGGGAGGAGCCCAGAGCCUGAAUCAGCAUGUGUGUUAGUGGAAGCGUCUGGAAAGGCGCGCGAUACAGGGUGACAGCCCCGUACACAAAAGCGCAUGUGCUGUGAGCUCGAUGAGUAGGGCGGGACACGUGGUAUCCUGUCUGAAUAUGGGGGGACCAUCCUCCAAGGCUAAAUACUCCUGACUGACCGAUAGUGAACCAGUACCGUGAGGGAAAGGCGAAAAGAACCCCGGCGAGGGGAGUGAAAAAGAACCUGAAACCGUGUACGUACAAGCA